UACGGGGGGGGCAAGCGUUGUUCGGAAUUACUGGGCGUAAAGGGCUCGUAGGCGGCCAACUAAGUCGGACGUGAAAUCCCCAGGCUCAACCUGGGAACUGCGUCCGAUACUGGAUGGCUUGAAUUCGGGAGAGGGAUGCAGAAUUCCAGGUGUAGCGGUGAAAUGCGUAGAUAUCGUAAGGAAGACCAGUGGCGAAGGCGGGUCUCUGGACAGUUCCUGACGCUGAGGCACGAAGGUCAGGGGAGCAAACGGG
rnacentral:rRNA from 1 species